GUGCCAGCAGCCGCGGUAAUACGGAGGGUGCAAGCGUUGUUCGGAUUUAUUGGGCGUAAAGGGCGUGUAGGCGGUUCGUUAAGUCUGAUGUGAAAGCCCCGGGCUCAACCCGGGAAGUGCAUUGGAAACUGGCGAACUUGAGUACGGGAGAGGGCAGUGGAAUUCCUAGUGUAGGAGUGAAAUCCGUAGAUAUUAGGAGGAACACCGGUGGCGAAGGCGGCUGCCUGGACCGAUACUGACGCUGAGACGCGAAAGCGUGGGGAGCAAACAGGAUUAGAUACCCUGGUAGUCC
rnacentral:rRNA from 1 species